rnacentral:lncRNA from 1 species
AUUAAACAUAGCAUGAAUGUUCUUUACGAGGUGGCGAAUAAGUUUUGUUUAUUUGUAACCGAUCCAUAAUCAAAGAUGGUAUCCAGACGGAGACUUAUAACAUAGGACCAUAAUGAAAAUACAUACAAAAGAGAGACGAAAGAUACCAAAGGGACAGUCAAACUUAUAAAUCUAAAUCAAACUGACAACGCCAUGGCUAAAAAUGAAAAAGACAAACAGACAAACAAUAGUACACAUGAUAUAACAUAGAAAACCUAAGAAUAAAAAACAC